GGUUUAUAUAUUUAUGUACGUGUUUGCUUGGUACAUUUAUUUUAUAUCUUAGACCUUAUAAAUCUCAUAACAUGGUUGACUACUGUGGGCACAGGAGGAAAAACCCCUUUCUGUUGUUGCUGCUGCUGCUGUCACCAGGCAUGUUUUCUCCUUCCAGGCUUUGCAGAUGACAACUGGGUGUGUCCCCCACGUCCUUGUGCUGGGGAUUCCAGUUGCACCCGGUGCCUUCCUUGCUGCUCACUGCAUUGGCAGAAAAAAGGGGGUGUCUUCUGGCCCCCUCCCUGUGGGUCUGAGCAGAGCAGUGGGUGCCCCCCACCCCAUGCCAUGUGGCAAGACUCAGCCCGGCCAGGUGCCGCCUUCCUCCUCUCGCCCUUCACAGCCAGGAAGAAGCAGAUCUGAUUGGGAAUUAGGCUGCAAGAGCAACCGUGUUCCCUUCUCUCUUAUCUAAGUUGCUGUAACAAGUGCUUUGCAUUUAUUCCAGCCCAUGUGCUGCAGAAUUGCGUUACAGCUCAUGGCUGCAAGCCAUCUGCGGAGAGAAAUCCAGUUAUACCUUGUAUAAUAAGUUCCUGACAAUCUUGCAGAGGACUCCGGGUCAUAAAAGUCUCCCGGUUUUAUCGCCAGUAACAGACAUGGAGAGAAAUUAAGUUGUCUUAUCAAAUUUAGUUACAGAUAGGUAGCCGUGUUGGUCUGCCAUAGUCAAAAUAAAAAAAAUCCUUCCAGUAGCACCUUUAAGACCAACUAAGUUAGUUCUUGGUAUGAGCUUUCGUGUGCAAGCACACUUCUUCAGAUACACUGAAACAGAAGUUGCCAGAUCCUUCUAUAUAGUGAGAAGGUGGGGAGGGGUAUUACUCAGAAGGGUGGUGGGAAUGGGAGAUUGGCAGAUAGCUGAGAUGAGCCUGCUGACGACUCUUAACGACUGUAAUAGGUCUUACAUGACUAAGCCAUUUCUCACCUUCUCACCCCUUGCCUUUUCCUGUAAGACCUAUUACAGUCGUUAAGAGUCGUCAGCAGGCUCAUCUCAGCUAUCUGCCAAUCUCCCAUUCCCACCACCCUCUGAGUAAUACCUCCCCACCUUCUCACUAUAUAGAAGGAUCUGGCAACUUCUGUUUCAGUGUAUCUGAAGAAGUGUGCUUGCACACGAAAGCUCAUACCAAGAACUAACUUAGUUGGUCUUAAAGGUGCUACUGGAAGGAUUUUUUUUAUAUUAUCAAAUUUAGAUAAUAUAUAUCCCUCUGGAGUGGAAGGUGCCUGAUGGAUCUUUUUCAGCCUUUGGGGGCUGGGGGGGGAUAAGCCCCCACCCGCCUUCAGGGCCUGGGCAGCUUCCAGCCUCAGACAGGAAGGGGGACCGAUCUGUGCCACCUUCUCUCAUGCCCUCCAGCUGGGCUUGGAUUCCUUUCCAUUAGCAUCUGGGCCUCCAACAUAUUUCUCUCUCUCUCUCUGCUGGGGUCCUUGCCAGACUUUGCUAAUCCACUGGUACCGCAGCCGGGAUUGAUGCCAUUCAGGAGAACGUGGUGGAAUUUUUCAUGCACGUUCCCAGCUGCAAAGCCGUGAGGGAGAACAGAAAAGUGGGUUGCAUCCACCCACUUUGGGAGGGCCUGGUCUCUCCCCCCCCCCCCCGUGCCCUGCGGUCGCCCGGCUCUCCCUGGUGCCCCUGGACAGGCUGGGAUUUGCAAGGGAUUAAGGAAGGCCACCGGCAGAGCUUUUCUUCCUGCAAGAGCUCGGAUUCCAUCCCUGCCUUCCGUGACCUAGAAAGAGCUGGAUGGCUGGAAGACGAGCCCCUUGCCCACCCGAGCCCCUGCCUCUUGAGGGGGCUCCAGUGCGCACACCAAACCCAUGGUCCAGGGAGGGGGGAAUGUCCCUCAGCCCACCCUGAGCCAGGAGCAGAACAGGGCUGGCUGUGCAAAGUCAGGAAAUUGGGAAUGUGGGGGAAAUGUCCAGAAAGGCUGGCGCCCAGUUGCGUGUGACUCUGGUGCAGAGGAGAGAGGAGAAGAGGAGGACUCCAGACUAGAUGGCAGAAGGAUCCUGCCAAGGAAAGGGCAGGAGGGAGGGUGGCAAGGCAGAUCUCAAGGGCAGAGCAGCAGCACAGGCAAAGAAGAGAUGCCCACCUGCCCAUCAGAAAGGAGAGGGGCAUCUUUCUGGGAAAUGAUAUAUAAGGAGAUGGAAAAAAUGUUGAAAUAUACAUUUAUUAAGAAACCAGAAGCAUUUUUACUUGGCAUUGUGUUGUUGUUGUUUAGUCCUUUAGUUGUGUCCGCCUCUUGGUGACCCCCUGGACCAGAGCACGCCAGGCACUCCUGUCUUCCACUGCCUCCCACAGUUUGGUCAAACUCAUGCUGGUAGCUUCCAGAACACUGUCCCACCAUCUCGUCCUCCGUCGUCCCCUUCUCCUUGUGCCCUCCAUCUUUCCCAACAUCAGGGUCUUUUCCAGGGAGUCUUCUCUUCUCAUGAGGUGGCCAAAGUCUUGGAGCCUCAGCUUCAGGAUCUGUCCUUCCAGUGAGCGCUCAGGGCUGAUUUGCUUAAGAGUGAAUAGGUUUGAUCUUCUUGCAGUCCAUGGGACUCUCAAGAGUCUCCUCCAGCACCAGAAUUCAAAAGCAUCCAUUCUUUGGCGAUCAGCCUUCUUUAUGGUCCAGCUCUCACUUCCAUACAUCACUACUGGGAAAAUAAUACAUUUAUUAAGAAACCAGAAGCAUUUUUACUUGGCAUUGUAGGAGAUGAUAUAAACAGAAAGGAUUGUAAGUUGUUUUUAUAUGCAAUGAUGGCAGCAAGAAUAUUACUGGCACAAAAUUGGAAGCAAGAAGGAUUACAGACGAAAGAAGAAUGUAGGAUGAAAAUGAUGGACUAUGCAGAAUUAGAUAACCUAACAGGAAGAAUUCAAAACCUGCGGGACCAGAGAUUCUCAGAAGACUGGAGUAAAUUUACGGACUAUUUGCAAAGUAAUUGUGAUGAACAGAUUACGCUAGUAGGUUUGCAAGAAGUUUUGUAAGGUGAAUUAUCUGAAAUAUUGCCAAAAAGACAAUGAGGAGAAAUGUUAGUUAAAGAUAAUUAAAGGUAAUAUGAAAUUAAGAAAUGCAUAAUAAUUGAUAAGAACGGAAAUUCAUCAGAGGUGUUGACGGAAGUCCAAAAACUAUUGUAUAAGAUGAGAAGUUUUGUUGUAUGAAUGAUAAUAUGUUAAAAACUAAUAAAAAUGUAUUUUUUAAAAAAAAAGAAAGGAGAGGUGCAUCCAGUCUGCCGGGCAGCUGUGUGGCUUAGAAGGAGCCCGUCCAGUUCUGGUUGACAAAAGGUUGGGGGGCCCGUUCCACCCUGAGAUCCCCACAAAAUCAUGCUGAAGGGCCUUGGCAGGACUCCUUCCGAGAAGGACCAGUUGUUGGAACCCACAGGAGUGCAGAGGGCUCUUGUGCCCGGGUUCUGCUGGCAGAUUUCCCGCACGAGCAUCUGGUUGCCUACUGUGGAAAGGAAGAGGCUGCUGGGCUAGAUGGGCCACUGGCCUGAUCCAGCCGGGCUCUUCUUAUGUUCUUAACCACCCCUUCAGAGGGCUGGAGGUGGAGACAGGAGAACGCUGAGACUCCUUUGCUGGGCACUGAGGACCCUCUCACACACCCACACCCCUCACUUUCCCCUGUGCUGCUUCUUCCGUAUUUUUUCAGUCUGCAGAGAAUCUCACCUUUGGGGAAAGAAAGCAAUGGCCACACCGUCUCCAUAGCUCUCUGUCACUAUAGCAUUGCCCUCCCAUCAUUUUUCAGAGGGGGGGCCUUUGACAUGCGCAAGGAUGCAUCGGGCGAGGGAGCUGCUCUCUCCGUCUCCAAUUUGUCACGGCUUCAGGAUGUUUCCCCUCCCAUUCCUCCUGCCCCGUUCCGGGAGAUUAGAGAAUGCUCGUGACACUCUGGUCCCUCUUCUCCCCGGUCUCCAUCUCGGUGGGAUUGCCAAGCCAGCGUGCUUGGGGGGGGGGAGUGGGGCAUUUGCAGGGCCUCCGUUUGCCUGGCAAGCCUCCCCUGCAAAAACUCUCUUCCCUAACCCAUCUAGCUCUUGCCCCGGCUGGACUCCAAGAUCAGAACCCCUCCCUCCUUCUUACAGACCCUCUGCUGCAAAUGCUUCCCUUCCGAAGAGCCCUGCACCUGGAUCAGACCAGAGGCCCAUCAGGAGAAGAUAAGCAGAGGCUGCUGGAUCAGGCCAAAGGGGCCCACCUAGUCCCGCCUCCUGUUCUCACAGGGGCCAACCAGAUGCCCACUGCAGGCAGGAUCCGAGCCCAAGAGCCUUCUCCCCUCCUGUGGUUUCCAGCAACUGCCGUUCAGGAGCAUCACCCCUCCAACUGUGGAGGGCAAGGCAGAGCCAUCCCUGCCUCCUGUGGCAGUGAGUUCCACAGUUUAACGCUGUGCUGCCUUAAGAAGGACUUUCUCUCUAACACCAGUACAGCUAGGAAGAAUGUACAAAACCAGUUCAAAUAUGUGUUGGAAGUGCAAAGAAAAAGAAGGGACCUUUUAUCAUAUGUGGUGGGAUUGUAAUGAAAUUAAAAAGUUUUGGGAAAUGAUAUAUAAUGAGUUGAAGAAAAUGUUCCAGUUACCAUUUGUUAAAAAACCUGAAGCAUUUCUGAGAGGGAUUGUAGGAAAAGACCUGCCAAGGAAACUGAAAAGUAUCUUUAUGUAUGCGACAACAGCUGCAAGAGUCUUAAUAGCACAAGGAUGGAAAAUGAGGAAAUCCCGACUAAAGAACUAUGGCAAGAGAAACUGAUGGACUAUGCAGAAUUGGCAAAACUGACACACAAACUACAUGACAAGGAUAACUGUGAUUUUAAAGAUGAAUGGGAACCCUUUACAAAGUAUCUAAAGAAGCAACAAAACGAACUGGACUCCUUGGCAGGUUUUGAAUAAACAUUCACAAACUUUUUAUUGAUAACAUUUAGACAGAUAAGUUAAGGAUCUGUACACUUUUGUAACAUGCAGAAAACAAUACAUGUGGAUAAACCAGAGAGAGGAGCUGAGGGACGUCCGGGGAGGGGGGGGGGAGGGGGGGUUGGGGUUUUGGGGGGGAGGGGGGAGGGGGACAAUAAGGAGGGGAAAUUCAAGAAUGAAAUGUUUUUUGAUAAAAUGUUAUGUUGAAAUUACUAAUAAAAAAAUAUUUUAAAGAAAAAGAAGGACUUUCUCUCGUCUGUUCUGAACCUUCCAAACUUUAGCUUCAUGGGAUGUCUGUGAGUUCUAGGGUUGUGUGAGAGAUGGAGAAAAGGUUUCCCCAGUGCAGAGCUGCCGUGGGUCAGCUGGCAGGCUGGAGGAGGUCAAGGCUGCCCUCUUCAGCCAUGGUGCCCCCAGGACAAGCAGCUUCAGCCCCUGCCCCCCGCCUGCCAUGGGGACGAUCCCACUGGCCUACUUUGUACGGCUGUUGUGUUGUGGAGCUGAUGGAUGGGAAGCUUUCUGAAUUCUCCAGGGAACAUCCGUGAUAAGUGCUGUAAUUAAUGAAGCCCAGGGUCAGCUGGGGCUGAGUCAGGAGUGUUAAGAGGCUGCCUGGCAAGAGCUGCUCCUCUCGGGUGCUUGCUAGGAUGUUGCAACCAACGCCAAAGAAACGGAAGGGAACUUCUCCUCCCAAGUCUUCCCUGCUUCAUUUGUUUUGAAAGUGAAGCCGGAACAUGGACAGGAUCAAGUCAGAGCGAGGGAAGGACCAGCGCUGCUCUCUUCUGCCUUGAGAGACCCCACCGGGAGUCCUGUGUCCUGUUCUGGGAACCCCAUUUCAAGAAGGGUGUUGAGAAACUGGAAGGUGGGCAGAGGAGGGUGAUCAAGGGUCUGGAAACCAAGCCUUGUGAGGAGGGAGUUGGGGGUGUUCCGUCUGGAAGAGACUUGAGAGGUGACAUGAGAACUACCUGCAAAUAUCUCAACCUUCAAAUAUCUCACUUGGAAGAGGGAGCAAGCCUGUUUUUCCUCCUCUGGAGGGUGGGACGCAUACUGACAGAUUCAAAUAAAAGAAAGGAGAUUCUGACAAAAUAUCAGAAAUAACUGUCUGAUGCUAAGAGCUGCUUGACAGUGGAACAGACUCACUCAGGUGGUAGACCGUCCUUCUUCGGAGGUUUUUAAGUAGAGUUUGGAUGGUCAUCUGUCAGGGAUGCUUGAGCUGAGAUUUCUGUAUUGCAGGGAGGUUAGACUAUUUCUUCCCUUGAUCGGGACACCAAAUACCUGCUGAUGCAGCCUAGAAUUUUAUCUUGCAAAUUGCCCUGUGAUCCUUGGGUGAGGGGCUGGGUAGACAUUUUAAGAAUAAGAAUUGCAUUAGCUUUUUUUGCUGCUGCAUCACCCUGUUGCCUCACCUCAAGAGUCCUCACUUCCUGCUCCACCCACAAUGCAUCUCUCAGGGACUUCAGCUUCAUUCCUGGAGACGACUGGAGGCCCGCACCCACAACCACAUGUUUGGCUCAGCGAGGGGUUUGUGGCCACUAAGGAAGAAAGCAAUGCAGGGGGGAUCUGAUCCCCACCCCCCAAAAUUAAGGGGCAGGCCGGAAUAAACCACUCUCUCCAAAGAAGUGCUGGAGCCCACGACUGCCCAGAAGCCACGCCUUCCCAUCUGGCACCUCAGCCCACUGGUCCCAGGGGUGUGGGGGCUGGCAUGCUGAGUGGUGAGGGGAAAGCACUCUGCACAUGCCCAGAGACACUUCGAUUGCUUUGUGUGUUGCAGGGUGCUGAAAAUGGAGUCUGGACAGCAGUGGCUGAAGCCUGGAGGACGCAGGAGAGCAAAUGAUGCAAGAUUAUUCUGCCACAGGCCAGUGGCUCACCUGGACCAGCAUCCUCUUCUCCCAGUGGCCAACUGGGAAGCCCCCCAGUGAGCUGGAGCUGAGCACCACAGGAAGUGGGGGACUAUUGCAGUUUUAUUUUUUGUUGAGCUUCUGAGCGGAGCUGAGUCAGUGUCGCCAUGUCUGGCCGCGGCAAGCAAGGUGGGAAGGCGAGAGCCAAGGGGAAAUCGCGAUCUCCCCGCGCUGGCCUCCAGUUCCCCGUCAGCCGUGUGCACCGCCUGCUGCACAAAGGGAACUAUGCUGGAGUAGCUCACAGCUGAAAUACCGGCGCUGGCUGGCAACGCUGCCUGGGACAAGAAGAAAACAAAGAUUAUUCCCCCGCAAUGAUGAAGCAUUGAACAAGCUGCUGGGAGGAGUCACUAUUGCCCAGGGGGGAGUCUUGCCCAAUAUCCAGGCUGUUCUGCUUCCCAAGAAGACAGAGAGCCACAAGCCCAAAGGCAAACGAGGAAGAAGCGGGCUCUUUCACCUAACAAAACCUCAAACAUCUGUGC